CUAGAACGGGUUUUAUGGAUUGACACCCAACUGGUGUAACAUUUCUCAGCUGUACUGUUUGCUCCAAGGACUUUAAGCUGCUUUUUAGGUUUUCAGAACAAGAUUGUGCCAGCUUCAGGAAAUGGUUUUUGAAUUUCUCCAUAUUUGUUACAGACAACUUAAAUGCUAUGCAGCUGGUUUGAGCCUUAUCUUCUUGGUGAUUUUUGGAAGGUAAAUCAUUUGGGCUCAUGAGGAACAGAGGAGCCAAACCACUAUUGAGAAGAUUGCUGUUCACCAUUUUGACAACCACACAAGCCACAGAUGAUACUCUCAGAUUCUAAAGCCUGCCUCCAUUCUCUGGCUGUGGCCCCUUCCUCCAUCUUCAAAUCUAGCAAUUCUGCGAAAAUCUUUCUUAUGAUGCAUUUCUCUGGUUCCAACUCCUCUGCCUCCCCUUUCACCAUUUAAGGACCCUCUGAUUAAACUGGACUCACCCAGAAAAUCCAGGGUAAUCUUUUCAUUUUAACAUCAGCUGAUUGGCAACCUUGCUUCCAUCUGCUACCUGAAUUCCCUUAGCCAUGUAAGGUAAUAUAUUCACAAGUUCUGGAGAAGAAGACAUGUACUUCUUUGGAGUGACAGAGGGACUAGCUACUACACACUGGAAGAAUCAAAUAUUCAAUAUGAGGAUAUUGACACAAGGAAGAACACAUACAAGAAUUUUAUGUAAAAGGGGUCUAAGAAUGACCAGGAGUUAAUGCGGUAAAGAGAGCAUGAAAGAACAUUUCAAUCCCCAGGAACAGUGCGAGCAAAGGAAUGAAGUGAAGAGAGGAAAUCAAGUCUGGGUUAUCGGACUUACUGCUGAGUGAUUUUACAGCUUGGAAGUAACACUUCUCUGGUAGCCAGGUUCUCCAGAAGUGUGCUUGUGAGCUCACAGAACUUAGAGACCAAGAAAGUCAAAGAAGAAAGGGACUGAAGAAUGUCAAGGAAAUGACCUAGCACUACAAGCCAUAAAGUAAUGACAGUUUCAAGGGGAAGAAUAGAGAGAAAGAGGAAUCAUGUGGAGAGGAAGAAGGUGGGGAGUUAAGGAGAGAAUUUGGUUAUAGCCAACAGGAAUAGAUCUGACAACUGAAAUUCUUAUGGGUAAAGGCAUUGUGGACAAAUACAAACUCACACACAAUGGGUUCCAAAAUAAUUUAUUUCUGCCCUGCAUUAGAAGAUGGGUGUCUGCUCAACCUAGAUGAGGCUCAACAAUAUCUCAGAGGGAAUCCAUAUGUCAUCAUUUCUGGCCAGUGACCUCUGAGUGGAAGUCUGAGAAGAAGUUUCUGGGAAGAAGAGUCCUGUUAUGUCCUCACUCUGUUGUUUCCUGUGAAGGAUACUGGUGGGCAGAAGGGAAGACUAGAUUGAGGCAUCCAUCUUGACAUCAUGAGAUAAAGACCAUCAAAAUUCCAGAAGUACCUAAACAAAUGCUGGAAGCAAUCAACCAAUGAUGAGACCACCUCCCGCCAAGGGAGAGGAGAAGGCAGCCAUCCGCACAAUGUUAACUGAGGUAUAUGUUGAGAAGAUCACCUGAAAUGAAAUAUGAAUCUCAUUGAAG
rnacentral:lncRNA from 1 species